UACGUAGGGGGCAAGCGUUGUCCGGAAUCAUUGGGCGUAAAGGGUGCGUAGGCGGCGCGGUAAGUCGGGUGUGAAAUCUCGGAGCUUAACUCCGAAACUGCAUUCGAUACUGCCGUGCUUGAGGACUGGAGAGGAGACUGGAAUUUACGGUGUAGCGGUGAAAUGCGUAGAUAUCGUAAGGAAGACCAGCGGCGAAGGCGGGUCUCUGGACAGUUCCUGACGCUGAGGCACGAAGGUCAUGGGAGCAAACGGG
rnacentral:rRNA from 1 species